GACGAACGCUGGCGGCGUGCUUAACACAUGCAAGUCGAACGGAAAAGCCGGAGUUUGUUCUGGUGGGCCAGUGGCGAACGGGUGAGUAACACGUGAGUAACCUGCCCCUGACUCUGGGAUAAGCUCAGGAAACUGGGGCUAAUACCGGAUACGAGCUACUGCUGCAUGUUCGGCGUCUGAAAGUUAAGGCGGUUAGGGAUGUACUCGCGGCCUAUCAGCUUGUUGGUGAGGUAGUGGAUCACCAAGGCUUUGACGGGUAGCCGGCCUGGGAGGGUGACCGGACCCACUGGGCCGGAGCUACGGCCCAGACUCGUACGGGAGGCAGCAGUGGGGAAUAUUGCACAAUGGGCGGAAGCAUGAUGUAGCACCGCCGCGUGGGGGAUGACGGCAUUCGGGUUGUAAACCGAUUUUCUCUGGGAAGAAGCGAGAGUGACGGUACCGGGAGAAGAAGCCCCGGCUAACUACGUG
rnacentral:rRNA from 1 species